rnacentral:rRNA from 1 species
UAGGGAAUCUUCCGCAAUGGGCGAAAGCCUGACGGAGCAACGCCGCGUGAGUGAUGAAGGUCUUCGGAUCGUAAAACUCUGUUAUUAGGGAAGAACAAAUGUGUAAGUAAAUAUGCACGUCUUGACGGUACCUAAUCAGAAAGCCACGGCUAACUACGUGCCAGCAGCCGCGGUAAUACGUAGGUGGCAAGCGUUAUCCGGAAUUAUUGGGCGUAAAGCGCGCGUAGGCGGUUUUUUAAGUCUGAUGUGAAAGCCCACGGCUCAACCGUGGAGGGUCAUUGGAAACUGGAAAACUUGAGUGCAGAAGAGGAAAGUGGAAUUCCAUGUGUAGCGGUGAAAUGCGCAGAGAUAUGGAGGAACACCAGUGGCGAAGGCGACUUUCUGGUCUGUAACUGACGCUGAUGUGCGAAAGCGUGGGGAUCAAACAGG